rnacentral:rRNA from 1 species
AUGAAGAAAUCCACUCAUUUCGAGUGGAAUGACCAAGCAGACCAAGCCUUCCAUGAGUUGAAGAAGAUGCUGACCACUCCACCUGUCCUGGCGGCGCCGACUGAGAAGGAUCCCAUGCUCCUCUACAUAGCCGCGACUAGCCGAGUGGUCAGUACAGUCAUCGUGGUCCAGCGCCCCGAAGAAGGCCGAGCCCAGCUAGUCCAGAGGCCGGUAUAUUAUUUAAGCAAAGUACUAUCCACCUCAAAGCAAAACUACCCGCACUACCAGAAGAUGUGCUAUGGAGUGUACUUUGCCGCCAAGAAGCUGAAGCCCUACUUUCAAGAGCAUCCCAUCACGGUCGUAUGCACCGCCCCGCUUGCCGAGAUCAUAGGCAGCCGGGAUGCAUCCGGCCGGGUGGCCAAAUGGGCCAUUGCGCUGGCGCCUUACACAAUCUUCUACCAUCCCCGCACCGCCAUCAAGUCCCAAGCAUUGGCCGACUUCCUCGUCGACUGGGCCGAGACCCAGUACCUACCGCCGGCUCCCGACUCUACUCAUUGGCGGAUGCACUUCGACGGGUCCAAGAUGCGCACCGGCUUGGGAGCCGACAUCGUCCUCACCUCUCCCAAAGGCGACAAGCUCAGAUACACGUUGCAAAUCCACUUUGCCGCCUCCAACGACGUGGCUGAAUACGAGGUGCUCAUACACGGGCUCCGGCUAGCCAAAGAGCUCGGCAUACGCCGGGUCCUGUGUUAUGGCGACUCGGACUUGGUGGUCCAGCAGUCAUCUAGCGACUGGGACGCCAAGGAUGCAAACAUGGCGAGCUAUCGAUUCCUCGUCCAGCAGAUCAGUGGGUACUUCGAAGGGUGCGAGUUCCUUCACGUGCCACGGGCCGACAACGACCAGGCAGACGCCCUAGCACGAAGCACUUACCCCGGCUCUCAGAUAGAUCAGCAUUCUUCUGGGUCAGCUCCCGAGCCUGGGAGUUGA